UACAGAGGGUGCAAGCGUUGUUCGGAAUUAUUGGGCGUAAAGAGCUCGUAGGCGGUUUGUCGCGUCGGCUGUGAAAUCCCGAGGCUCAACCUCGGGCCUGCAGUCGAUACGGGCAAACUAGAGUGUGGUAGGGGAGACUGGAAUUCCUGGUGUAGCGGUGAAAUGCGCAGAUAUCAGGAGGAACACCGGCGGCGAAGGCGGGUCUCUGGGCCAUAACUGACGCUGAGGAGCGAAAGCGUGGGGAGCGAACAGG
rnacentral:rRNA from 1 species